AUGCCUGCAAAACACCCAAGGCCAUAUCUUCUUCAACUGUUUCUUCUCCUAGUUCCAGAAGCCUUUCCAAUGCGCCCUCAGGUAAUACUCAAAAAUGGAACAACAGCUGUAUUAUUGCACCAGUCAUCUCUCUCAUCGCAGCGUGACCACGCACUCGCAAAUAUAAAUAGGUCAGCCAACAGGGGAGCUAGCCCUUCAGUAGCGCGGCUCAGUAGCAGCAGCAGUGGGGAUUCAGUUUACAGGAGCUUCCGAGAUAUCUCUAAUCUGCAUGCAGUAGUUUCAGAAACUGCAACACACCUGAGGCAUUCUCAUGACCAGAGUGAUAUGCAGCUUCAAAUUGAGAGUAUGAAUGUCAAACCGCGACAUCUUCAGAAGCUUCAUCCUGUUGUCUGUUGA
rnacentral:rRNA from 1 species